AGCAUUGCUCUCCUCGGCAACACACCCACCUGCGGGAACCCAGGGCUGCCCUGGGAGCUGCGGGCAGAGGGUCCAGGCUGACUGCGCCAGAGCCAGGAAGAGAAGGUCCUGGUCACCUCAUGGAGAAUUUGAAAGGCACAAAAGAGCUGUUUCUCCACCCCAUCUUUGGAGUUCUCAUUUCUGGUGGCAGAGACAUGUAACAGGAAGAAAAUCGAUGAUGCAGCCACCAGACUCUCGGGUGAAGGCUGUGGGCAGCGUGGGCAGUUGGAUCUGCGCUGAGAACAUCAAACAAAUAGAGCUCCUUCAGAGGCCCCUGACUCUCCUCAGCCUCAUGAAAAUAUAUGUAACCCUGCGUAAGUUCAUGUGAUCUCUGUCCAGAGAAAAUCACCAUGCUACCUGUGUUCUUCCAAAUCUACUUGGAAAUUAAAUACUUACCUACUGAAGUGUGAACUGUUGUCAUGUCCUAAGUUUCCAAGGAAAAUAUGACUUCAUCCAGAGCCUGAGUGCCUUCCUCAGAGUUCAAGAGGGUUUCAUGAUGUUCACUUCCAAUAUGAUCUGCCACUCUUCCAGCAACCAAUAAAUCCGGCCUGCCCUCCAUGCCAGUCACAAA